rnacentral:rRNA from 1 species
UACGUAGGGUGCAAGCGUUGUCCGGAAUUAUUGGGCGUAAAGAGCUUGUAGGCGGUUUGUCGCGUCUGCUGUGAAAUUUCGGGGCUCAACCCCCGAACUUGCAGUGGGUACGGGCAGACUAGAGUGUGGUAGGGGAGACUGGAAUUCCUGGUGUAGCGGUGAAAUGCGCAGAUAUCUGGAGGAAUACCGGUGGCGAAGGCGGCAUCCUGGACCGACAUUGACGCUGAACGGCGAAAGCUAGGGGAGCAAACGGG